UGUUCUGCUCACCCUUCUCACAG
rnacentral:miRNA from 1 species